rnacentral:rRNA from 1 species
UACGAAGGGGGCUAGCGUUGCUCGGAAUCACUGGGCGUAAAGGGUGCGUAGGCGGCGCGGUAAGUCGGGUGUGAAAUCUCGGAGCUUAACUCCGAAACUGCAUUCGAUACUGCCGUGCUUGAGGACUGGAGAGGAGACUGGAAUUUACGGUGUAGCGGUGAAAUGCGUAGAUAUCGUAAGGAAGACCAGUGGCGAAGGCGGCUCACUGGACCACAACUGACGCUGAGGCGCGAAAGCGUGGGGAGCGAACAGG